AGAGUUUGAUCCUGGCUCAGAGUGAACGUUGGCGGCGUGCCUAACACAUGCAAGUCGAACGGACUCAAAGGGGUAACUCUUUGAGUUAGUGGCGAACGGGUGAGUAACACGUGGGUAAUCUCCCCUCGAGUGAGGAAUAAGCUCCCGAAAGGGAGUCUAAUACCGCAUAACGCCAUGGGGCAUAAGCGUCCAUGGUUAAAGCCGCAAGGCGCUUGAGGAUGAGCCCGCGUCCUAUUAGCUAGUUGGUAGGGUAACGGCCUACCAAGGCGAUGAUGGGUAGCCGGCCUGAGAGGGUGUCCGGCCACACUGGGACUGAGACACGGCCCAGACUCCUACGGGAGGCAGCAGUGAGGAAUUUUGCGCAAUGGGGGAAACCCUGACGCAGCGACGCCGCGUGGAGGAUGAAGGCCUUCGGGUCGUAAACUCCUGUCAGAGGUGAAGAAUGCCCGCAAGGGUUUGACGGUAACCUCAGAGGAAGCCCCGGCCAACUACGUGCCAGCAGCCGCGGUAAUACGUAGGGGGCGAACGUUACUCGGAAUUACUGGGCGUAAAGGGUGUGUAGGCGGUUGA
rnacentral:rRNA from 1 species